AUGGUUUAUUCCCAUUGCUUUUCAGUUUUUAUCAUUAAUGAAUUUAGUAUUCACCCCUGUCCACAGAUUCAGAACUUCAGAUCUCCUUCAGAUUGGACUCUCCUGACAGCCAUAAUGGAUGGAACAGAGGUCAAAGACUGUGACACAUAUGUUCCUGAACGUGAGAAUGGAUGCCAGCGAGCUACUGACCUCUGAAGGACAAAGGCCAGCCCUGCAGGUGUCUGCUCUGAACUCACAGAGCGGUUUUGCCUCUGUAACCCACAGAAGUGCUAGAGCCAAUGAAGACUGGUCUAUUUUACACAGCAAGGAUGAAAUCUGCAUCUUAUGACACCCUGUGCACCACGCAACUGAGGUUUUACCAGGAACUGCUUGCAGAUAUCUUUGGUGGGUUCAUCGAAGUUGGCAUGCUCAAACUUCACCUCCUCCUCAAGGCAUCUUCUCUUCACUU